UCCCCCAUCCCCCCUGCCAGCCCUCCCUGGUUGGGUCUUGGCUGGGGCUGAAGUGCCCCACAUCUGGGUGGAGGUGAAGGGUGGGGGCAUCCUCUCCUGUUAGCUCACCCCAACAGCCAGCCGCAUUCCUGCCAGCAUGACUGCCGCCACCACCUGGACCCAGGCCCACUUGUCUCAUGGGGCCAAAGGGCUACUCACUUGCAUGCACAUGAGUACACACCCCAAACCAAUACACGAACACAAGUGCAUGCGGAGACACAACGCAUCCCUACACAGACACAGCAGCCCCUCUCCCCGCUGGUGGUGGGCGGCUGCUCUCAGUGUCACCACCUCCUCCCUUCAGCCCAGUUGUCACCACUGCCCCCAGCUUCUGGGCAGAGAAUGUUAGAGGGUCUUGGGGAUCCAGACUGCCCAAGGGGCCAGGGGAGGGCUCCCUGGUCCUGGGAGUGGUGACAUGAGAGAGUACCAAUGAUGUGGGAACUACCUCAUGUCUUCUUGGGAGAGGGGGGCCCACACCCAUCCCUCACUGUUGGUGCCGUCCUCUUUCUCCCCUUUAUCUUGGUUGGCGGCAUACCCAGCAGCAGGGAUGAGCCGUCUCCCAGGGGGAACUUCUGGUAGCGCGGCACAGCCAGUGGGGCGAUGGCCUGGAACUUGGGGGCCAGCAGGGGCUCAAGGCGGGAGGCGCAGGGGUCGGCCGCAUGGAAGAGGUUGUAGAUCUGCUCACAGGCUGGCCGCAUCUGGGCCACUGGUACCCAGAAGAUAAAGGGGGGAGGGGAUUCAUCUGGGCAUACUGGGAGGCAGGGGUUGUGGGAAGCGGCACCCUGACAUGCUGUGUGACCCUGAACCAGCACUUCCCAGACUCUACUCCCUGGGAGGUGCCUGGGAGUGCUUAAAAGUGAGACAGGUCUCUCGGCUAAGAAGAGAUCAGAGCCUUCGAUUUGCUGAUGUUCAAGAUGAAGCGUUCCCCAUGCCUGUUGGACCCCCUCUCAUGAAAGCAUCUGUGGAGCCAGCACCAGGCCCAGAGGGGAGCCAAAGAGGAAGAAGCCGGAGACCUUGAAGUCAAGGCGGGUGGCACUGGUCAUUUCACGUUUCUGCGUCUUUGCACAUGGCCAGUCCUGCUGCUGACAGGCAUGCGUCUCCGCACAAGCCCUGUUUGCCUGGAAAAUUCCUUCUAAUCCUGCCCUGUCCAAUAUGGUAGCCACUAGUCACAUGUGCCUACUUAAACUGAAAUGAAUUAAAAUAACAAUACCAAUUUCAGUUCCUCAGUCCCACUCGCCACAUUUCAAGUACUUGCUAGCCACAUGUGGCUAGUGGCUAGAACAUUUCCAUCAUCUCAGAAAGUUCUUUUGGACAGAGCUCGUCCAAUCCUUCAAAAUCCAGCUUAGACAUCACCUCCCACGUGAAGCCUUCCUGGACUCCGAAUGAAUUCCUCCAUUCUCUGUGCUGUGUCUGAACCCUGAAUACACGCCCCACAUCCAUCCAUCCACCCAUUAUCUGCUCAUUACUCGUCUGUGUAUUUAAUGAGCACCCUUUCUGGACUGACAUUCAUCUCAGGACCCCAUUAAACUUAGGAAUGAGUUGUUCUCCAAGUCCCCACCGCAUACGGAGUGCUGGUGGCUGGCAACUGGAUGUGGGAUCUUUACCUGGCGCCCCUUCUGCCUCCAUGGGGCAGGCAAAGGCGUCGAUGAAGUCAUUGGAGUUCCACUUGGUCAUCUCCUUGGGGAAAACCUCGUCACUGUCCGAGAAACCUUCUGAAGGGACGAAGGGCUGCGUCAUGGUUUGGCGGGAGCUGCUCAGGGACCCCCCCUUCCCCUAACAGGUCUGGGGUCCUGACCGUGGGCAUCAAAGAACUCCUCCUCAGAGCUGUUCUCAGAGUCUCGGGCGAUGUUCUGCAUGCGCCACUCGGACAGAGUCUGGGGAGACACGCCCCCUGCAGGGCCACAUUGGCCUCAGCCUGGGAGUCCAGCCUGAGGGCCGCUCCCUCCCGCCCCUCUGCCUCAGCCUCACCUCCAUGCUGGGACGAGUAGGAGGAACGGGAGGACGAGGACCACUGCUUGCCGAAGCUGGCAUCGGGCGAGGCUUCGGGGCCUGGGGGCACCUCGGGCCCAUCGGGGGUACCGGCACGGCUGGUCCCAGCCCGGGCCUCAGUGCUUGGCUUCGCGGGGGGCUGGGCCUCGGGCCCCUCACUGCCUGUGUUGCACCUGGCCAUGCGCUGUGCCAGCAUGCGGGCGGUCUCUUCCUCCAGUGCCCGGAUGUCAGCCAUGCUCAGCUCUGUCCACUCGUCCUGCCAGCACCAGGCCUGGCGGUGGGCCCGCAGCAUCACCCGACGCAGACCUGUAGGCGCCCAGGCAUCAAAGCCAUGCCCUCCUCACCCACACGCCCCCGCCCCGAGUUUCCCUGCCACUGCAGCCACAUGCCCAGCCCAUGAGUUCAGGUAAUGGCUCCCCUGGGCACACCCCCCACCCAGGGCCACAAAGUAUAGCAGGGUGAGCACUGUCCGGGAGACGGGAGUGGAAACUGGGGCAUUUGUCUUCCUGCCCCACCUCCCUCCCUGCCCACUGCCUCUUUUAUCCCUCUGGACACCCCACCUCUGAGCGCUGAGCCCACCCCGACACCCUGGGAAGCUGGGAGCAAUGUUUGUUCUUGCUUCUUUCAGCUGGCUUCCUGCUGAUUUCUUCACAAGAGUUAACAAUUAAGGCGUUGAUAGUUAAUGAAAUUGUUGAUGGUUAAUGAAGGUGUUAAGAGUUAAUGGAAGUGUUGGCACUUAAUGAAGCAAAACAUGAUACCCAUUCUGGGAUAUUUUCAUCCUAAGCAGAGGACUAAAGUUAGAGACUUCAAUAUCUAGGAAAUAAAGUCAUAAUGAUUGAAUUAUUGUUAUAAACUUCUGGAA